rnacentral:rRNA from 1 species
AUUGAACGCUGGCGGCAGGCUUAACACAUGCAAGUCGAGCGAGCGGCGGACGGGUGAGUAAUGUAUGGGGACUGCCCGAUAGAGGGGGAUAACUACUGGAAACGGUGGCUAAUACCGCAUACUAUCGGAUAACCCAUAUGGGAUUAGCUAGUGGGUGAGGUAAUGGCUCACCAAGGCGACGAUCCCUAGCUGGUCUGAGAGGAUGAUCAGCCACACUGGGACUGAGACACGGCCCAGACUCCUACGGAGGCAGCAGUGGGGAAUAUUGCACAAGGGGCGAAAGCCUGAUGCAGCCAUGCCGCGUGUAUGAAGAAGGCCUUCGGGUUGGAAAGUACUUUCAGUCGGGAGGCGUUACCGACAGAAGAAGCACCGGCUAACGCCGUGCCAGCAGCCGCGGUAAUAC